ACCAUAAUACAGCUUUCACAAGUUUCUUCAAGUCAUUACGAGAAUGCAGCACAUCUAACAGGGAAGUCCCAGCAUCCGCCCACACUAACACAGACAGGUGACUUGCAGGACGUCUCUGGGUUCCAUGAGUGUGUUACUGUGACGACCUGCUGGGUUUCUACCAGCUGAGAGAGACCUGCAUGAAGACAGUGAAACAGGUCAUCAUGGGCUGAAUGGGGGAUCACAACACAAUUCAAACAGAGUGAGAACUACUUUGGCUUUAUGUGUUGCUCCACUGGGAUUGGAUCACUGCAGUAACAUGAAAACACACGUAUGAAUGUUUAGAAUACA